CUCCUCAGAGGCACAUUGCUUCAUGGAAGACAGCUGUUCUUCACUGCCUCAGACAGACUGGAGUUAUAUAUAGUGACGAUAAUAAGAAAUUGUCUACGCACACACGCACACCACAUGGGGACCGGCUGAUGAGAAUGAGUGUUUUAUGCAUAUGUAGUACUUCCCUUUGCAUUGACAAACAUCCAGCUAACUCCAGCCCUCAGCUCCAACAAGGGUCAAAAGAUUCCCCUUCAACCUCCACGCCCCGCUUGCAUUUUCUCAAUUAAUUCAUCGACUGUGUAAACUCCCCUUCCAGUUCCAUGUAGUAGGAAGCCCCAUUUGGAUCGAAUGUAAAAGAGUAGAGCCACUAUGGGACAGAAUAUGAAUAUUUCCCGAAAACAAGAAAAGAGAAGUAUCCUGUGACCCAGCAAGCCCAUCACUGGCUGUUCACCCAAAGAAAAUGAAAUCAAUGCAUCGAAAGAUAGCUACACUUUCAUAUUUCUUGAAGGACUGUUCACAAAACCCAAGAUGAAUGAAAAUAUGUAUCUGACUCUGUCUCUCUGUCUCUGUGUCUCUGUUUCUCUUUCUCUCCAUCUCUCUUUCUGUCUCUCUGUCUCUGUCUCUCUCUCUCACACACACACACACACACAGAAAUAGUCUUCAAUCAGAAUAAAAGACAUCAAAACAUAGAUGGAACUGGAGGAAAUAAGGAAAUAAGCCGGGGACAAAGAGACAAAUACCACAUGACUUCACCUAUACAUGGAAU